rnacentral:rRNA from 1 species
ACAUGCAAGUCGAACGAUGAAACCGGAGCUUGCUCUGGUGGGAUUAGUGGCGAACGGGUGAGUAACACGUGAGCAAUCUGCCCCCGACUCUGGGAUAACCCCGAGAAAUCGGAGCUAAUACCGGAUACGACACCUCCUGGCAUCAGGUGGGUGUGGAAAGAAUUUCGGUUGGGGAUGAGCUCGCGGCCUAUCAGCUUGUUGGUGAGGUAAUGGCUCACCAAGGCGACGACGGGUAGCCGGCCUGAGAGGGUGACCGGCCACACUGGGACUGAGACACGGCCCAGACUCCUACGGGAGGCAGCAGUGGGGAAUAUUGCACAAUGGGCGCAAGCCUGAUGCAGCAACGCCGCGUGGGGGACGACGGCCUUCGGGUUGUAAACCUCUUUUGGCAGGGAAGAAGCGAAAGUGACGGUACCUGCAGAAAAAGCACCGGCUAACUACGUGCCAGCAGCCGCGGUAAUACGUAGGGUGCAAGCGUUGUCCGGAAUUAUUGGGCGUAAAGAGCUCGUAGGCGGUGUGUCACGUCUGCUGUGAAAAUCCAAGGCUCAACCUUGGACUUGCAGUGGGUACGGGCACACUCGAGUGCGGUAGGGGAGAUUGGAAUUCCUGGUGUAGCGGUGGAAUGCGCAGAUAUCAGGAGGAACACCGAUGGCGAAGGCAGAUCUCUGGGCCGUAACUGACGCUGAGGAGCGAAAGCGUGGGGAGCGAACAGGAUUAGAUACCCUGGUAGUCCACGCCGUAAACGGUGGGAACUAGAUGUGGGGUCCGUUCCACGGAUUCCGUGUCGCAGCUAACGCAUUAAGUUCCCCGCCUGGGGGAGUACGCGCAGCUAAAACUCAAAGAUGACGGGGCCCGCACAAGCGGCGGAGCAUGCGGAUUAAUCGAUGCAACGCGAAGAACCUUACCAAGGC